rnacentral:rRNA from 1 species
GCCAAAACCCUAGCUACAACACCACCAAAUACCACCAAAACUAAACCAAACCAUUUGCCCCGCCUAGUAUCCGCGACAGAAAAGCACAUACACGCAAUAGUAAACAGUACCGCAAGGAAACAGUGAAAGAAAAAUCUAAACUUACGCACCAAAAAGCAGACUUUAACCCCCGUACCUUUUGCCUCAUGGUUCAGCAAGAAAACAUCAGAUAAAAUGAACUAAAACCUGCUACCCCGAAUCCAGACGAGCUACCUAAGAGCAAUCUUAUGGAUACACCCAUCUCUGUGGCAAAAGAGCGGGAAGACUUCUAGGUAGCGGUGAAACGCCUAUCGAGCCUGGUGAUAGCUGGUUGCUCACUAAAUGAAUCUAAGUUCAACUCUGGCCCCACCACCAUGAACACCAUUACACCCUGCCCAAGCCAGAAGAUAAACAAUAAGGGAACAGCUUUAUUGUUAUCGAGUACAACCGAAACUAGAGGAAAACCAAACAUAAUCAACGUAGGCCCUCAAGCAGCCAUCAAACAAAACCGCGUCAAAGCAACAUCAAUCCAAAAAUACCAAACCAAACUAAGCCCCCCUACAACAAACCGAGCUACUUUAAUUAAACUUAAAGGAAACACUGCUAAAACUAGUAAUAAGACAACCGCCUCUGCCGCACCCCUGUACAUCAUAACGGAUUAACCAAUGACAAUUAACAGCCUAAAAAGAACUAUAAACUAACCCAAGCCCUCUUACCUAAACUCACUGUUACCCCAACACAGGCGUGCAUACAGACAGCUUUAAAGCUGCAAAAGGAACUCAGCUAACCCUGCUCCACCUGUUUACCAAAAACACCGCCUUUAGCGAACCAAGUAUUAAAGGUCAAACCUGCCCAGUGAAUCUUUUAAACGGCCGCGGUAUCCUAACCGUGCAAAGGUAGCGUAAUCACUUGUCUCUUAAUUAGAGACUAGUAUGAACGGUCUCCUGAGAGCAACCCUGUCUCCUUCAGCUAACCAAUGAAACUGAUCUUCUAGUAAAAAAGCUAGAAUUACACCACAAGACGAGAAGACCCUAUGGAGCUUUAAAUAACACCACUAAUAAUAAACUAACCCGUCUACUGACCACACCAUAAAAUAAUAGUGACACUUUUAAGUUGGGGCGACUACGGAGCAAAACAAAACCUCCACGACCCAGAAUAAACUCAUUCUAGACAGACAUGUCAAACAUAUCCACCACAGACCCAGUACAUACUGAUCAUCGAACCAAGUUACCCUAGGGAUAACAGCGCCAUCCCCUUCAAGAGUCCUUAUCGCCAAGCGGGGCUUACGACCUCGAUGUUGGAUCAGGGCACCCAAGUGGGGCAGCCCCUACUAAAGGUUCGUUUGUUCAACGACUAACGCCCUACGUGAUCUGAGUUCAGACCGGAGUAAUCCAGGUCGGUUUCUAUCUGUGCUCCUCCUUCUUCAGUACGAAAGGACCAAGAAGAAAGCGCCCAUACCACUAGCACGCGCUCUCCUAAACACUGACCACAAAACUAAAGAAACAGGCCCUAAAACAGCCCUAAACCAGGGCUAA